rnacentral:lncRNA from 1 species
UCUAAGUACCAUAGAGAAGAGCUCACAGUCAUCUUAGCAAGUCCAUCAUGAGAAGACAUCAAGUAUCAAAAAGGGAGAUCACAAACGUCAUCAUGGUGGCAAGCAUGAGAAAGUUUCUAAGUACCUAGCAGAUGAGCUUACAGUCAUCUUAGAAACCCAUCAUGUACAACCAUCAUGUAUCAAGAGGAACGAUCUUUAAG